rnacentral:rRNA from 1 species
UGACGGUACCUGACUAAGAAGCACCGGCUAAAUACGUGCCAGCAGCCGCGGUAAUACGUAUGGUGCAAGCGUUAUCCGGAUUUACUGGGUGUAAAGGGAGCGUAGACGGCGAGGCAAGUCUGAAGUGAAAUGCGGGGGCUCAACCCCUGAACUGCUUUGGAAACUGUUUUGCUAGAGUGCAGGAGAGGUAAGUGGAAUUCCUAGUGUAGCGGUGAAAUGCGUAGAUAUUAGGAGGAACACCAGUGGCGAAGGCGGCUUGCUGGACGACAACUGACGCUGAGGCGCGAAAGCGUGGGGAGCAAACAGGAUUAGAUACCCUG